rnacentral:snRNA from 1 species
GCACUUGGGUGGCAGAGGAUAUACUAUGAUCACAAAAGGUGGUUUUCCCAGGAGGGCAAGUCUUAUCCACUUGCUGCUGAACCCUGUGGCUUCCCCAGAAGUGAGAAACUCAAGUGCAUAAUUUUAACUUUAUUUUUAUGAAAUUAAAU